UACGAAGGGGGCUAGCGUUGCUCGGAAUUACUGGGCGUAAAGGGCGCGUAGGCGGCACUGUUAGUCAGGCGUGAAAGUCCUGGGCUCAACCUGGGAACUGCGCUUGAUACGGCAGAGCUAGAGGAUGGAAGAGGCUCGCGGAAUUCCCAGUGUAGAGGUGAAAUUCGUAGAUAUUGGGAAGAACACCGGUGGCGAAGGCGGUUCUCUGGGCAUUACCUGACGCUGAGGAGCGAAAGUGUGGGGAGC
rnacentral:rRNA from 1 species